rnacentral:rRNA from 1 species
AACGAACGCUGGCGGCAGGCUUAACACAUGCAAGUCGAGCGGACAUCUUCGGAUGUUAGCGGCGGACGGGUGAGUAACGCGUGGGAAUGUACCUCUGAGUGCGGAACAACAGUUGGAAACGACUGCUAAUGCCGCAUAAUGUCUUCGGACCAAAGAUUUAUCGCUCAGAGAUCGGCCCGCGUUGGAUUAGGUAGUUGGUGAGGUCAAAGCUCACCAAGCCGACGAUCCAUAGCUGGUUUGAGAGGAUGACCAGCCACACUGGGACUGAGACACGGCCCAG